GACCCUAUAGAGUUUAAUAUUUAAUUAAUAAAUUAUUUUUUAGAAUUUAAUACUAAUUUAUUAAUUAAAUAUUUGAUUGGGGUGAUUGAAAAAUUUAAAUAACUUUUUUUAUAUUAAAACAUUAAUUUAUGAUUACUUGAUCCAUUGUUUAUGAUUAUAAGAUUAAAUUACCUUAGGGAUAACAGCGUAAUUUUUUUUGAGAGUUCAAAUCGAAAAAAAAGAUUGCGACCUCGAUGUUGGAUUAAAAUUUAUUUUUGGUGUAGAAGCUAAAUUUAUUGGGUCUGUUCGACCUUUAAAAUUUUACAUGAUCUG
rnacentral:rRNA from 1 species